AUGCCAAGGCAAGCAGCGGGAGGGCUGGCACCGUGCCCGCCCGACCCCACACCAGCAGCCGGAGGAGUCGCUUUUCCGGGGCACUGCAACCUGUUUGCCCAGCUGCGACCCCCUCCCCUCCACGAGAUGCCACUGCCCCUGCCCGCACCCCAUCCCCGCCGCCCCCUUUCCUCCCCACCCCCACCCCCCAUGCCAAGGGGAGCCUGCCGGCAGCGACGCUGCCGUGGAAACGGCGCCUCAUCCCGCCUGGCUCACCUGCUCCUGGAUGAGCUGCAGCAACGAGCUUCUAUCCAUAUACCUGCUGGGCUGGACGGCGGAGGGAGAGGAGGACAGCGGAGGAGCGCGCACGGGCGGCGGCGGCACUGGCACCACCGGCGGCUGCCUUGCCUUCUUUCCCCCGCCGGGAAGGCGACCGAGCAGCAGCAGCGGGACCAGCAGCAGCAGCAGCAGCAGCAGCCCGGCUUCCCGAGGCGAGUGGCAGGCAGCGAGCCGGGCAGGCGGAGCCUAGGGCAGCCCGGCGGGGCGGGGAGAGGCGAGGCGAGGGAGGCGCCCGCUGCGCCUCGGGCGGCGCGAGGGAGGGCGUUGCGCAGGAGCGGCGGCCGGGCAGGCAGGCAGGCAGGCAAGCGCCGCUUCUCCUCGCUGCUGAUGCUGCUGCGAACAGGGACGGAUGGACGGGCGCCCGGCGCACGCAGCAGCAGCAGCAGCGCUGCAGCCCCCUCUGGCGCCCUCGCGAAGCGGCGCAGGGAGAAGAGGAGCGCGCGGCGGGCCACCCGGAGCCGCAGCGGCCGGCGGCGCCCGCGAAGCGAGGGAGGGAGGGAGGCUCGCUCGGACCCGCCUCUUUCUCCCACCCGAUUGGCGGGGAAGGGAUCCCAAAGGACGGGGGCGGGGUGGAGAGCCCUUUCCCCCCUCCUCCCAGCCCGAGGGCCGCAUUCCCUCAUGGGUAACCUGCCGCGGGCCACAUGCCGGCAGAGGGCAGGGCCAGAGGCGAAAGUGGGCGGAGCAACAGGUGCAGUCUGUGCACGGUAA
rnacentral:lncRNA from 1 species